AUUGAACGCUGGCGGCAGGCCUAACACAUGCAAGUCGAGCGGAUGAAGGGAGCUUGCUCCUGGAUUCAGCGGCGGACGGGUGAGUAAUGCCUAGGAAUCUGCCUGGUAGUGGGGGAUAACGUCCGGAAACGGGCGCUAAUACCGCAUACGUCCUGAGGGAGAAAGUGGGGGAUCUUCGGACCUCACGCUAUCAGAUGAGCCUAGGUCGGAUUAGCUAGUUGGUGGGGUAAAGGCCUACCAAGGCGACGAUCCGUAACUGGUCUGAGAGGAUGAUCAGUCACACUGGAACUGAGACACGGUCCAGACUCCUACGGGAGGCAGCAGUGGGGAAUAUUGGACAAUGGGCGAAAGCCUGAUCCAGCCAUGCCGCGUGUGUGAAGAAGGUCUUCGGAUUGUAAAGCACUUUUAGUUGGGAGGAAGGGCAGUAAGUUAAUACCUUGCUGUCUUGACGUUACCAACAGAAUAAGCACCGGCUAACUUCGUG
rnacentral:rRNA from 1 species